rnacentral:rRNA from 1 species
UACGAAGGGUGCAAGCGUUACUCGGAAUUACUGGGCGUAAAGCGUGCGUAGGUGGUUUGUUAAGUUCGUUGUGAAAGCCCCGGGCUCAACCUGGGAAUGGCAAUGGAAACUGGCGAGCUUGAGUGUGGCAGAGGGGGGUGGAAUUCCGCGUGUAGCAGUGAAAUGCGUAGAGAUGCGGAGGAACACCGAUGGCGAAGGCAGCCCCCUGGGCCAACACUGACGCUCAGGCACGAAAGCGUGGGGAGCAAACAGG